CUGACCUCAGGUGAGCCACCCACCUCAGCCUCCCAAAGUGCUGGGAUUAUGGGCGUGAGCCACCACACCCAGCCGUCUCUCUUUUUUUUUCAAGGACACCAGUCAUAUGGGAUUUAGUGCUUACCACACUCCAGUGUGGCCUCAUCUUAAGUAAUUACAUUUGCAGCAACCCCAUUUCUAAAUGAGGUCAUAUUCUCAGGUUCUGAGGGUUAGGGCUUCUACAUAUCUUUCUGGAGGAUACAGCACACUCAAUUCCUAAUAGCAACUGAAGCUUCUUCUUAAACAAAAAAGAAAAUACUCUUAUUUCAGUUAUCAUAUUAUAAAGUGUUCUGAAUCCUAUUGGAAACUUUCAACCUCUUUUUUGAUAUUUGUUGUAAUGACUAUUAAAAAUAGCAUAAAUUUAACAUAGAAAUUUAAAAAUAUAUUACAAAAAGUCUGGGCACGGUGGCUCAUGCCUGUAGUCCCAGCAUUUUGGGAGGCCGAGGCAGGAGGAUCACCUGAGGUCAGGAGUUCAAGACCAACCUGGUCAACAUGGUGAAACUCCAUCUCUACUAAAAUAAUACAAACAUUAGCAGGUAUGGUGGCAGGCGCCUGCAAUCCCAGCUACUUGGAUGGCUGAGGCAGGAAAAUCACUUGAACCUGGGAGGUGAAAGUUGCAGUGAGCUGAGAUCGCACCAUUGCACUACAGCCUGUACAACAAGAGUGAAACUCUGUCUCAAAAAAAAUGAAUAAAUGAAUAAAAAAAUUAAAAAAGUAUAAUGAAAAUAAUCACGCAUAAAGACUUGUUAAUUAUAAUAUUCAUAUAUUUGUAUUUAUGUAAAAACAUUUUUUAUUAUGCAUACACAAUAAUAUAUUUUAUGGUUGUGCAGCAUUCAAUCCAUCCAGUUGUAUUCAUAAUAUACACCGACCAGCUGUAAGGUCUUAUAUUUAGAGUUCUUAUUAUAAAUGCGUAUCUAUUUUUUCAAAUAUGACUUACUUUAAGCACUUUUGUAGUCUCUUUGAGACUAAGAUAUUUGUCUACAUUUUACAGCAUUUCUGUUUUUCUCUCUCAUGGCUUUUCUUCUCUUUCUCUGAUACCUAGCUUAGAUUAUAUAUUUAUUUCAGUUUUACAUUGUCGUUUCUAUUCAGGACUGUGUACGUGCUGUCCAUCCUCUCUUCCUGUAGCAGUUUCCCAAACUUUUCAUAUAACUACUUCUUUCAGGCCUCUACGUAACAUUACUUUGUAGACAAGGCUUUCCCGCCUCCUUGAAAUAUGGUGUCUCAGUACCUGUAUUGUAAUAAAACCUAUCACACAAAUGUUUCUCAUUUUAUUUUUUGUUUUUAAUACUGUAGAGGUAAGGCCUGUGACUUUUCUAUCUACCCAGCAUUCCCCAGCACUCAUAAUGUAUUUGCUCAAUAAAUGUUCCUAGAUAGUCCCUAUUUUGGGAAUUUCACUGUCAUCUUUUCCCUUUCCAAGUCUGAAUCCUAGAAGUCUACUUUAUUACACUCCUUCUCCCUUAAGUGAAAUAUACAUGUAUACACACACACACAUAUAUAUACACACACAUAUAUGUGUGUAUAAAUAUAUGUGUAUGUAAAUAUGUGUGUAUAUGUGUGUGUGUAUAUAUUUAUAUAUCGUUUUUGCCUCUUUAAUAUGUCUUCCAUAUCUCAUUUGUCUUUCUUUUGAGACAAGGUCUUGCUCUGUUGUACAAGCUGGAAUGCAAUUGCAAGAUCUCAGCUAACUGUAGCUGCUGCCUCCAGGUCUCAAGCAAUCCUUCCACCUCAGCCUCCAGAGUAGCUGGGACUAUAGGCAUGCCCCACAAGGCCUGGGUAAUUUUUCUGUUUUUCCUUUUUCUUUUCUUUUUUAUUUUAUAGAGACAGGGUCUCUCUGUGUUGCCCAGGCUGAUCUUGAACUCCUGGGCUCAAGAGAUCCACCCACCUGGUCCUCCCAAAGUGCUAGGAUUAUAGGGGUGAGCCACCCCGCUCAGACCAAUAUCUCCGCUUCUUCACAGCCCUCUCACCACCUUAAGCCUUAUUAUCACAAUCUCUUACUUGAUCUAUGACAGUACUCUGUAAAUGAUACACACUUUUCACACCUUUCCUGUUGUAACCCAUUCUCAAUUUUCUCAGGAGAUACUUUAAAAAUAUUAUUUAAAUCAUGUAAUUCUAUUGUUUAAAACCUUCAAUGGCUUUAAUGGCUUCUACUGCUUUUGCGAUAAAGAGAAAAAUCCUUCACGUUACCCAUAGGUUUUGACUAUAGCUACUGGGUUUCUGUCCAGGCAAAAGUCAUUAUUUCCCUCUUUGUUCCUACUUCAGGUAUAUGGAUCUUCUUUGAGAUCUCCAAAAUUUUCAUGUUGUCUUCUGACUUAACGAAUUUACACACGUUGUUUUCUAUAGAACAAAUAAUUCUGCCUGUUUUAAUUCUCCAUUCAUACCUAAUUCCAACUCAUCCUUAACAUAUUGAUUCUAAGGUCAUGAUUCAGGAAAACCUUCUGUAACUUUUCAGACUCUAUCAGAGUCCAGUAUUUUUGCUUUUAAAAUAUAUUGCUAUAUUAUAAUACUGUUUAUAGCAUUAAUUAUAUGUUUUCAUAUAUACAUAUAUAUGCUUAAUUUACUGUUAGCUUUGCCUCAUAAUAUUCAAAUGUAAGAAAUGUAAAAUUAUUUUUCUAGAGCAAAAAAUACAAUGCUUCUAUUUCCUACUGAGGCUUUUAGAGAAUACCUCCAAGAAAGUACAAAGUUUGGAUGAGAUACUGAAUUUCCAGAUGCGCUCAAAGGCAUCACUCACUGACAGCCACUUCUGACCAGAGACUGGGACAGAAAUGAAUACCUUUCCUGGUGUGCCCAAGGCCUUGGUAUUAAGUAACUAUCUAUCUUCCACCUGUCUCUACAGUUAUCCACCAUGGAAUGAGCAGUGCUAGACACAGAUGCAUUGGUCCUUACAUAUGGGAAAAUGUGAAACUCACUUACCUUUUCUGGUCAUAGGAAAGAAAUUAAUCAUCCGUCUUGCCAGUUAAGUGUCAUUAUCUCAUCUCCCAGAGCCAGACUUGCUUACUUCUCUCCCUGAGCCAUUUUAGAACAGAGUUUGGCAGUGAAGUAUGUGUGUUUGGAGAUGGGGGGAAAGGGGAGACAUUUGUUGACUUCUGGGAAUCUUAUGUCUUGUGAUUUCAACUGUGCAAAAUAAAAUCUAUUGUUUCUCUUCAUCAAGGAACCCAGAAAAAUAAUAUCAGGAUUGUGUUUGUAUCUUAGAGCACAGUAGUAAAAGUAUUUCUUAUUUAAAAAUAAAAUCCUUUGGGAAUGUGUUUUUUAUAUCACUUGUUUUUGAUUCACAAUAUACAAACGCUCAUGGAAAAAAAAAGCAAUACAAAGGGUCAAACCAGUAAAAAUACACUCUUUUCCCUCAUAGACUUAGUUUUUCUCCCCAAAUGCAGCCUCAAUACUAAUUGUUUGUGUAGCUUUCAAAGACACAA
rnacentral:lncRNA from 10 species